CUGAGGGAGGGUCCAGGAGUACAAAGGAAGAAAUGAAAGAGGUGGCAGUCCUGCCAGAAGUGAGCCCCUCGACCUCUAACAGCAGUUUUUAUACCUGGUUAGUGACUAUUCCAAACUCCACAAACACCAUUGUAUGUUUCAGGGGGAAACAGACCUGGACUCUGCCCCAAGGUUCCCAAAGAUACGGGUGGGGCUUGUGCUGAAAUGUGCUCAGGAGAUUACUCAUGUCCCAAGGGAAUGAAAUGCUGCAGCAAUGGAUGUGGCCAUGAUUGCCGACCUGCUAUCCAUGUGGGUGGUGUUUAUGACCCUGUGGAAUAAGAAUGGGGGUGUAAGCCUGCCUGGAGACGAGCCCCAGAAGAUUGCUCAUGAAUCAUGGAUCCAGUGCUUGGCAUAACAUUUUCCACACACCAUUCCUGGCAAGUGUCUAUCCCUUGACGUGCAGUCUCAGAAGAUGAAGACCUAAAGUGCUGGAGUGGCCGAUUCUGAAGAGCUUGUGUCCAAAAUAAAUUUUAUCUGUGGCAUUAUU